UACGUAGGGCGCAAGCGUUUGUCCGGAAUUAUUGGGCGUAAAGAGCUCGUAGGCGGUUUGUCGCGUCUGCUGUGAAAACCUAAGGCUCAACCUUGGGCUUGCAGUGGGUACGGGCAGACUAGAGUGCGGUAGGGGUGACUGGAAUUCCUGGUGUAGCGGUGAAAUGCGCAGAUAUCAGGAGGAACACCAAUGGCGAAGGCAGAUCUCUGGGCCGUAACUGACGCU
rnacentral:rRNA from 1 species